rnacentral:rRNA from 1 species
AUAAUGGGUCAGCGACUUAUAUUCUGUAGCAAGGUUAACCGAAUAGGGGAGCCGAAGGGAAACCGAGUCUUAACUGGGCGUUAAGUUGCAGGGUAUAGACCCGAAACCCGGUGAUCUAGCCAUGGGCAGGUUGAAGGUUGGGUAACACUAACUGGAGGACCGAACCGACUAAUGUUGAAAAAUUAGCGGAUGACUUGUGGCUGGGGGUGAAAGGCCAAUCAAACCGGGAGAUAGCUGGUUCUCCCCGAAAGCUAUUUAGGUAGCGCCUCGUGAAUUCAUCUCCGGGGGUAGAGCACUGUUUCGGCAAGGGGGUCAUCCCGACUUACCAACCCGAUGCAAACUGCGAAUACCGGAGAAUGUUAUCACGGGAGACACACGGCGGGUGCUAACGUCCGUCGUGAAGAGGGAAACAACCCAGACCGCCAGCUAAGGUCCCAAAGUCAUGGUUAAGUGGGAAACGAUGUGGGAAGGCCCAGACAGCCAGGAUGUUGGCUUAGAAGCAGCCAUCAUUUAAAGAAAGCGUAAUAGCUCACUGGUCGAGUCGGCCUGCGCGGAAGAUGUAACGGGGCUAAACCAUGCACCGAAGCUGCGGCAGCGACGCUUAUGCGUUGUUGGGUAGGGGAGCGUUCUGUAAGCCUGCGAAGGUGUGCUGUGAGGCAUGCUGGAGGUAUCAGAAGUG